AAGACCUUGCGCUUUUGGAGCGGCCGAUGCCUGAUUAGCUUGUUGGUAAGGUAAAGGCUUACCAAGGCUUCGAUCAGUAGCUGGUCUGAGAGGACGGCCAGCCACACUGGGACUGAGACACGGCCCAGACUCCUACGGGAGGCAGCAGUGGGGAAUUUUGGACAAUGGGGGAAACCCUGAUCCAGCCAUGCCGCGUGAGUGAAGAAGGCCUUCGGGUUGUAAAGCUCUUUCAGCCGGAACGAAACGGUUACGGAUAAUACCCGUGACUACUGACGGUACCGGAAGAAGAAGCACCGGCUAACUACGUGCCAGCAGCCGCGGUAAUACGUAGGGUGCGAGCGUUAAUCGGAAUUACUGGGCGUAAAGCGUGCGCAGGUGGUUUUGCAAGUCAGAUGUGAAAGCCCCGGGCUCAACCUGGGAACU
rnacentral:rRNA from 1 species